UACGAAGGGGGCUAGCGUUGCUCGGAAUCACUGGGCGUAAAGCGCACGUAGGCGGAUCUUUAAGUCAGGGGUGAAAUUCCAAGGCUCAACCUUGGAACUGCCUUUGAUACUGGGGAUCUCGAGUCCGGAAGAGGUUGGUGGAACUGCGAGUGUAGAGGUGAAAUUCGUAGAUAUUCGCAAGAACACCAGUGGCGAAGGCGGCCAACUGGUCCGGUACUGACGCUGAGGUGCGAAAGCGUGGGGAGCAAACAGG
rnacentral:rRNA from 1 species